AUGGCGCUGGUCGGUCAGUUCCUGUCUCUCUUCCUUGCCGCCGUCCUGGCCUGGUUCGCCUCCGCCUCCGCCUCCGCCUCUGCGCCUCGCUUCAUGUCUGACACCGUCUUCCAGGCCAGCACCGGAUCCACGGGGAGGAGCUUGCUUCAGAUAGACUGCCCUGUGGACUUUGAGUACCAGAACUACACAAUCAUCAUAAGCCGAUGCAAAGGGCCACAUUACCCUCCUACGGAAUGCUGUGAUGCUUUCAGGGAUUUUGCAUGCCCAUUUGCUGUGUAUAUCAACAACAAGGGCACUAACUGUGCAGACACAAUGAUAUCCGGCAUCAACUUCUUUCGCAAGUACCCAUAA
rnacentral:rRNA from 1 species